AUUUAAUCUUAUUUAUACCCAUCCCUUGGAACCUGCUGUCUGUGUCCCUGAUUAGAGCAUAAGUGCCAAGAAAAAGCAGAGUCAUGAUCCAGUACAUCCAAAACAGGAGAAGAGCAAGAAAGGUCCAAAAUGGUUGGAAGACAAGGAGUGGCAAGUGAAUGAAGACUUUGCCAGCCACAUGGAACAAGGCAAUGCAACCCUUGCCAACUAGAGAGCUGCAACAUCUCAGAAGGGACUGCUUCAGGCAUUGAGAAGUGCAAAAGAGUGAAAGGGAAGGAAGAGCCAACUCACCUGACAAGGGAGGUAUGCUGGAAGAAAUAAAAUGAAAGAAAAGACAAAAGGGAAGAAGGAAGGGUAUCAUAUUAUAUCUGACAGGAGAAAAUGUUCAAACUGCUUGCUUUUCCUUACAGCAUCUCCUUUUGGGGGUCUCUCCCUCCUCUUAUUUAAAAUACUAAUGAACCUCCCAUUUUA